rnacentral:rRNA from 1 species
UAAUACAGAGGUGGCGAGCGUUGUUCGGAUUUACUGGGCGUAAAGGGUGCGUAGGUGGUUUUGCAUGUCGGACGUGAAAGCCCACUGCUCAACGGUGGAACUGCGUUCGAAACUGCAAGACUUGAGUUCAGGAGAGGAGAGCGGAAUACUUGGUGUAGCGGUGGAAUGCGUUGAUAUCAAGUAGAACACCGGUGGCGUAGGCGGCUCUCUGGAAUGAAACUGACACUGAGGCACGAAAGCGUGGGGAGCAAACAGGAUUAGAUACCCUGGUAGUCCACGCCCUAAACGGUGCGCACUUGGUGUGGGGAGAUUUGACCCUCUCCGUGCCGGAGCUAACGCGUUAAGUGCGCCGCCUGGGGAGUACGGUCGCAAGAUUAAAACUCAAAGAAAUUGACGGGGGCCCGCACAAGCGGAGGAGCAUGUGGCUUAAUUCGAUGCAACGCGAAGAACCUUACCAGGGCUUGACAUGCAGCUGCACGUCCUGCGGAAGCAGGAUUCCUUCGA